rnacentral:piRNA from 1 species
UGGGAACCAGAACACACUGAUGGAGGAGU